CGACUGGCGGCGUGCCUAAUACAUGCAAGUCGAGCGAGCGGAACCAACAGAUUUACUUCGGUAAUGACGUUGGGAAAGCGAGCGGCGGAUGGGUGAGUAACACGUGGGGAACCUGCCCCUAAGUCUGGGAUACCAUUUGGAAACAGGUGCUAAUACCGGAUAAUAAAGCAGAUCGCAUGAUCAGCUUUUGAAAGGCGGCGUAAGCUGUCGCUAAGGGAUGGCCCCGCGGUGCAUUAGCUAGUUGGUAAGGUAACGGCUUACCAAGGCGACGAUGCAUAGCCGAGUUGAGAGACUGAUCGGCCACAUUGGGACUGAGACACGGCCCAAACUCCUACGGGAGGCAGCAGUAGGGAAUCUUCCACAAUGGACGCAAGUCUGAUGGAGCAACGCCGCGUGAGUGAAGAAGGUUUUCGGAUCGUAAAGCUCUGUUGUUGGUGAAGAAGGAUAGAGGUAGUAACUGGCCUUUAUUUGACGGUAAUCAACCAGAAAGUCACGGCUAACUACGUG
rnacentral:rRNA from 1 species